rnacentral:rRNA from 27 species
GGUUAAGCGACUAAGCGUACACGGUGGAUGCCCUGGCAGUCAGAGGCGAUGAAGGGCGUGCUAAUCUGCGAUAAGCGCCGGUAAGGUGAUAUGAACCGUUAUAACCGGCGAUACCCGAAUGGGGAAACCCAGUGUGAUUCGUCACACUAUCAUUAACUGAAUCCAUAGGUUAAUGAGGCGAACCGGGGGAACUGAAACAUCUAAGUACCCCGAGGAAAAGAAAUCAACCGAGAUUCCCCCA